GAUGGGAUAGCGCUUGGACACCCCUGGUGAAAAGCAUAACUGCAACAUGACACAUCGAACGCAGAUCGGCUGUGGGAAGUAAAAGAAAAGCAACAACAAAUGAGAAGUGCAGUGGUAGAAACGGUAGAAACAGAUUUGUGAAGAGUUUAUCACCUUCAGAAAAUACCUUUAAUUGUGCAAAGUAGGAAGGCAAUAUCUAGUGUAUCGUAUAGUGUAUACUGUGAUAUUAAUCCCUGCGGUGAAUCGGUUCUCAAAACGAGUGAAAUGCCCAUCGGCUUAAUGCUUGAUAGCUUUCCUUGAAUAGGGCAGAGGUUCCCAAACACGUCACACAAGGAACAUUUGUGAAUGGCGCGGAAGUGAAUUGUGGGAAGGAAACCACUUUCUUUUGAGCAUCGCUGAAAACAAGUCGGCUGCUACAAAAAAUCUGGUUUCCCUUCGGGAACA